rnacentral:rRNA from 1 species
CAGCAGCGCGGUAAUACGUAGGGUGCAAGCGUUAAUCGGAAUUACUGGGCGUAAAGCGUGCGCAGGCGGUUAUAUAAGACAGAUGUGAAAUCCCCGGGCUCAACCUGGGAACUGCAUUUGUGACUGUAUAGCUAGAGUACGGCAGAGGGGGAUGGAAUUCCGCGUGUAGCAGUGAAAUGCGUAGAUAUGCGGAGGAACACCGAUGGCGAAGGCAAUCCCCUGGGCCUGUACUGACGCUCAUGCACGAAAGCGUGGGGAGCAAACAGGAUUAGAUACCCCAGUAGUCCCUGUCUCUUAUACC